rnacentral:rRNA from 1 species
GGAUGAACGCUAGCUACAGGCUUAACACAUGCAAGUCGAGGGGCAGCAUGGUCUUAGCUUGCUAAGACUGAUGGCGACCGGCGCACGGGUGAGUAACACGUAUCCAACCUGCCGUCUACUCUUGGACAGCCUUCUGAAAGGAAGAUUAAUACAAGAUGGCAUCAUGAGUCCGCAUGUUCACAUGAUUAAAGGUAUUCCGGUAGACGAUGGGGAUGCGUUCCAUUAGAUAGUAGGCGGGGUAACGGCCCACCUAGUCUUCGAUGGAUAGGGGUUCUGAGAGGAAGGUCCCCCACAUUGGAACUGAGACACGGUCCAAACUCCUACGGGAGGCAGCAGUGAGGAAUAUUGGUCAAUGGGCGAGAGCCUGAACCAGCCAAGUAGCGUGAAGGAUGACUGCCCUAUGGGUUGUAAACUUCUUUUAUAAAGGAAUAAAGUCGGGUAUGGAUACCCGUUUGCAUGUACUUUAUGAAUAAGGAUCGGCUAACUCCGUGCCAGCAGCCGCGGUAAUACGGAGGAUCCGAGCGUUAUCCGGAUUUAUUGGGUUUAAAGGGAGCGUAGAUGGAUGUUUAAGUCAGUUGUGAAAGUUUGCGGCUCAACCGUAAAAUUGCAGUUGAUACUGGAUAUCUUGAGUGCAGUUGAGGCAGGCGGAAUUCGUGGUGUAGCGGUGAAAUGCUUAGAUAUCACGAAGAACUCCGAUUGCGAAGGCAGCCUGCUAAGCUGCAAC